GCAAGUCGAACGGUAGAGUUCCGUCGGGAACUUGUGAGUGGCGAACGGGUGAGUAACACGUAGAUGAUCUGCCUUGAAGUUGGGGAUAGCCUACAGAAAUAUGGGGUAAUACCGGAUAAUACCUUAAGACUUUGGUUUUGUGGUGAAAGGGGCUUCGGCCUCGCUUUAAGAUGAGUCUGCGGUCUAUUAGCUAGUUGGUAGGGUAAGAGCCUACCAAGGCGACGAUAGAUAGCCGGCCUGAGAGGGUGACC
rnacentral:rRNA from 1 species